rnacentral:miRNA from 1 species
CAAGCUGAGUGGGGAGGAGAGAGGGACAGAGAGCCUGCUUGCUUUAAAGGAGCCAACUGGACAGGAGCCGCUUACACUCGUGUAAGCGGCUCCUCUCCUCUCCCGCUUUGCUCUUUCAAAGCAAGCAGGCUCCCUGUCCCUCUCUCCUCCCCACUUAGCG